AGUGAACGCUGGCGGCAGGCCUAACACAUGCAAGUCGAACGGAAGCACAGUAAGCGUUCUCCUUUACUGGUGGCGAGUGGCGGGCGGGUGAGGCGUACAUCGGCAUCUACUUUUUCGUGGGGGAUAUCGUAGGGCAAGUUAUGCUAACACAUCAUAUGAUGUACGGGUGAGAGCAGGGGUGCUUCGGACUCUGCGUGAUUGUAUGAGAUGAUGUCGGAUUAGCUAGUUGGGAGGGUAAAGGCCCACCAAGGCAACGAUGCGUAGCUGAUCUGAGAGGAUGAUCAGCCACACUGGAACUGAGACACGGUCCAGACUCCUACGGGAGGCAGCAGUAGGGAAUAUUGGGCAAUGGGCGCAAGCCUGAUCCAGCCAUGCCGCGUGAGUGAAGAAGGCCUUCGGGUUGUAAAGCCCUUUUGUUGGGGAAGAAAAUCUGCGUAUUAAUACCCCGCUGUUCUGACGGUACCCAAAGAAUAAGCACCGGCUAACUUCGUG
rnacentral:rRNA from 1 species